rnacentral:lncRNA from 1 species
ACUUGGAAGAAAUACCUUCUAAAAGUAAUUCAGACUUCCACGAGGGUGCAACUUGGGGACUCUCCCUCUGAGUCUGCCUGUCUAUCCACACAUAUUGUACUCUUUUUCCUCUUAAUGAAUACUUUACUUGUUUCACUACUUUCCAUCUUAUGGGAAUUCUUUUCUGCAAAACCAAAGGGCCAGCGCCUUGGUCACUGACCAUUGGUCUAGUGGCUGGGAUCUGGUGCUCUCACCACCAUCACUCAGCUUCAGUCUUUGACUGGGAACCCAAGCACCACUCCAAGCCAUUGCAGGCCGAGGUCACCCAUGAUCAUAUACCAAGCAGAAAAUAUGUUAGGGAAAUGUAAGCAGUUUUUCGAGAGAAGUUUACAGGUACUAUCAAAAAUGCCAACUUAACUCAUUUUCCACCUGCCGUUUGUAUCCAAGCCUCACCUCCCAGGCCUCCUCCUUCCUCUUCAAGUUUGGGGCCCAUCUGAAGAAAACGGUGAUGUUUGUGGUUGAGCUUAUAAGGUGGUGUCAUCUAAACCCCUGGAAGAAGAAGGUGUUCUCUCUUUCUGCACUAAGGGACCAAUUUCAGGACUUUAUCAACCUCAACCCAGAAUAUCCUUCAGAUCUAGUCUCCUUUCUGCCCAGGAAGAAGCUGGAUUGUUGAACUUGUGAAGAGCAUGGAAUCAAGUCCCGCUUCCAACAGGCCCUUAGCCAGCUGUGGAAGCUUUGGGAAAUUCCUUCAUUCCUCUGAGCCUCAGUUUCUUCAUCUAUGGAACCUACACCUCCAGCAAAGCAUGGUGUGGUUUACAUGCCUCACUCAUAGAACCCUUGUCAGGAAGUUAAAUGGAAUGGCAUUACCGUGGUGCCGGAGGCAUUUUAAGAAUGAUUGGCUGUAACUGUGCCUGAAUAUAGUUUCUAAGCAGUCAUUGAGCCCUGAAUUGAUCCACAGGCUGAACUAGGUUCGAGGAGGCUGCAAGAGCCAGGUGCCACGAGGUUACUCUGAAGUGCCCUCAUCCCUGGAAGAGACCCCUGGAUGAGCCUUGGGGAGUCCUUCGAAGUCCUAGAAUCUGGUUUUCAUAAGAUCUUUUUCAGCAAGGUAUUGGUAUCAACAAGUUGAAUUUACCAUCUUAAUGACUUCCUCAAAUAUAAAAUCCACUGCAUAAAAGUGACUUUUAUCCUUAGUUUUAAAAUGUGAGUUGUUAAAGAUCCCUAUAGCUAUGCCCAUCAAAAUAUCAUUUAAAAGUUACAAUUCUCCAGCUUCUUCUGUGUGGCCUACAGAUUAUCUACCUUGAAAUUUCUUCACCAGAUAGGGAGAAAUACCUCAAGCUGUCUUUCAUGUACAAGCCCAGGAGCAGUUUUACACAAAGAUCAGUGUUCUCUCAGUUAAACGCUGGUUAAAUAAAACAGUGUAAAAUAGAAUCUGAGAGAAACA